UACGUAGGUGGCGAGCGUUGUCCGGAAUCACUGGGCGUAAAGGGCGCGUAGGCGGCGAUACAAGUCGCAUGUGAAAUACCAGGGCUCAACCCUGGGGUGUCAUGCGAAACUGUAUUGCUUGAGUGCAGUAGAGGAAAGCGGAAUUCCUGGUGUAGCGGUAAAAUGCGUAGAGAUCAGGAGGAACACCGGUGGCGAAGGCGGCUUUCUGGGCUGCAACUGACGCUGAGGCGCGAAAGCGUGGGGAGCAAACAGG
rnacentral:rRNA from 1 species